AGUAAUUCUAGAGCUAAUAC
rnacentral:siRNA from 1 species